UUGUUGACAUCCAUCACCAUGUCUUCCAGGAAUUCCAGAUUCUGUGGUUUCGAACCUCCACAAGUAAGGGUGAUAGGGAAGACUGACACUGGUUUUAAAUGGACAGCACAAAGGAUGGGCCACAUUGUUCUUCCUGAGCUCUUAAACAGAGGAAAAUGGACAUACUCCAUACCAGACUUUGAUGUGAUCCUGACCUCCCUUGGUGUCUUCAGGAGUGUCCUGGUGGUGGAAGGCAGAGGGAUCAACAUCCAUCCAGUCAUCGAGGUCAUCCUCCAAAGCAGAACGAUCCUCAAAUGACUCAUCCAAGUCCAAGGAGUUGUCCAUGUCACCAACAGGCGCAAGAACACCGGAUGGACUGCUGGACAAGCUGGCAUCAGCCACAUGGUGUUCUGUGACACAAACACUGGCAGUGCUUUCAGCUA